ACGAACGCUGGCGGCGUGCUUAACACAUGCAAGUCGAACGGUGAAGGGGUCUGCUUUUGUGGGCCCUGGAUGAGUGGCGAACGGGUGAGUAACACGUGAGUAACCUGCCCCCUUCUUCUGGAUAACCGCAUGAAAGUGUGGCUAAUACGGGAUAUUCUGGGUCUGUCGCAUGAUGGGUCUGGGAAAGAUUGCGCCUUUGGGUGUUUUUGGUGGGGGAUGGGCUCGCGGCCUAUCAGCUUGUUGGUGGGGUGAUGGCCUACCAAGGCGGUGACGGGUAGCCGGGCGGAGAGGGUGGACGGUCACACUGGGACUGAGACACGGCCCAGACUCCUACGGGAGGCAGCAGUGGGGAAUAUUGCACAAUGGGCGCAAGCCUGAUGCAGCGACGCCGCGUGAGGGAUGGAGGCCUUCGGGUUGUAAACCUCUUUCGCCAGUGAAGCAGGCCUGCUCCUUGUGGGUGGGUUGACGGUAGCUGGAGAAGAAGCGCCGGCUAACUACGUG
rnacentral:rRNA from 1 species